rnacentral:lncRNA from 1 species
AAAAAAACGCUGUCCUGAUUUUGUACUGGCUUAUUAUAUAUAUAUAUAUCUGGGGGGGAUUUUUUUUUUUUUUUGUACAGUUCCAAAAGCUUCAAACCAAGAAAAGACUUUGCAAAAUUCCUUUGUAAUCACUCCAAGUGGAAACGAGGAGAUAAUUUUGAGUGAUUUUUUUUUUUUUUUUUUAAAUGUUGUGUGUUGUUCUCUCUUCUCCCUUUUCUCCUUACGACCUGUUUCCUCGCUUGGGUUUGUGUAUGUUGUGCCUGUAAAUCUUUCGCUUGGUAGAAGCUGUGUGUAAUUCUGGUCUUAAUGUAUUAUUAACAUUAGAAGAGAUUUACUCCUUUUUAUAUUUAGGGAAUACGACACAUCAGUGGGAAGGGGUGGGGGGAGGAAUUCAUAUAUUUCUUUUGGGGGGGGGGGUUCUAGAAAUUGAUAGGGCAUUAAGAAGUAGGGGUUGUUUGUCACCAGGUCACAAUUAUUCCACCAUCUUCCGAAGGACAUCAGAGACCCUAAUUUAUUUUUCUUACUGUGAUUUUUAAAUUGAAAUGCCCUUUAACAUGUAAAGGGUGACAAUGUAUUCCAGUAUUAAGUGGGCUUCGUUAGAGUGCAGUUCUGUCAGUCUGCUUUGCAGUGGAUAAUACGUAGUAAAAACAAGUCUUGUUGGGAGCAAAAGAAUGAAAAUGCAAAGGCAAUACUGUGAAUGACUUUGGUAAUAUAAUACACCCGCUCAACAGUAAUUUGAUUGUGACUUGGCUCAUGUCCAGACAAAAAAUGGAUUCCUUUUUUUUUUUUUUUUUGCGUGUAAAAAAAAAACCUAAAGAUUGUGCAAAUCUUUAUUCUGUUUGUGGCAAUCAAUACAAGACCAUAACCUGUAUAUGGUUCAAUAGCCUCAUACACUAACCUGCCUCCGUUUUCAGUACCCUUUUAAAUAGAAAUAUAUAACAGUGGCUGCAGUCCCCCAGCUCAAGAACUACCUGAGGCUGUGAUUUAAUUAGAACGCAAAGAAAGAUAAUUGACUUCUGGGUAUUUAUGAGAAAAUAAAUAUUUUAUUUGAGGAGCCAUUUACAUUCCCAAGCUGUGACAGACCAUCUAAAGGAACACUCCGGGCAUCGUACGAGUGUCAUUGGAUUAAGUUGUUAUGGUGCCAGGAGGUUCCUGGCGCUGACUUACUUUUAGGGGUUAAACCGUUCAUGAGCGGUGUAAACAGAGUCUUCUAUCCAGCUCCAUUUAACUCCAUCCCUGUCCUUCCAUUACUCUUAGAUUCUUCAAACAGGAGACCAUUUCUCCCCAUUUAUAAAAAUAGCUUGAAAACAAUGUUGGUUUCUCAAGCCGUUUUGUGUGUGGGGAGCUACAGAGAUUGGCUGAGAGCAUCAGCUGACAAGAAGCCCCUGUCUGUAGCAAUCUGAGGCUUGCUGAGAGCAGUGGGGAGGACAGCGGCAGAGCUAAAUGGGACUAGAGAGAAGACUUUUAGGUUAAACCAUUCACGAAUCGUUCUACCCCUAAAGCGACGAUGGCACCAGGACCAUUCCGAUGAAGUUGUUAUGGUGCCCAAAGGUUCCUUUUUAAAAAAAAUAAAAAUUUUAUUUAAUGAUUUGCUUUGCUACUUUGUUAGUGCUAAUAAAAUAUGGCAGUUAAUGCAUUUAUUGUAUGAAUUUUGACCUUUGCCUGUUAUUUGCCUGUUUUUGCUAAAAGUAAUCCUAGGUGUUCCCCACUCCCUCUCCAGACGUUGCGUGUGACAGGGUCGCGGAGUGAAUGCGUGUGUUGUCGUGGGGCAGUGCAAUACAACAUUUACUAUUCUGAUACUUUGUUAAUUCGUUUUUUUAAAACCACAUCAGGCCAACAUUUCAGAGCUGGCAAAAAUUUGCCUGACCCUGUUCCUUGUUGGGUUAUUGCUGGGAAUUGCAAUCAGUGUGUCAGUGUUAAGAAAGGGAUGUUAUUAAAACUGAGGCUUUUUACCCCUAAUAAUUACGUCUUUAUUUUUUCCUCCCAUUUUCUAUUUUGCUUUACAUUUGCACACCCUGUCUCUUUUUGGUGACAUUAGCAACAUGUUAAAGGGAUACUGUCACCUCUGAGGAUUUGUUGAAUACUCUGAUUUAGUUAUUCCUACGUGUAACAAAUAUGAAUACCUGAGGUAUUAAAAAAAAUAAUGAAAAUGUAGAAAUCCACACCUUUGUCCUGCAGUUUGGGUCCUCCAUUUUAACUCAGUCAGUCAUCCUUAUCAGUUGUGUCCUUUACAGCGAGCAGACAGAUGGGGCGAGGGGGCUUUGCCUUGUUCGAAUUGGAUUAUGAUAUAAAAUGCUAAAUUUUAAAACCAAGAGUAAAAGAAAAUGGAGCAUUUAUUGGAAAAAGGUUAAAACGAGAGAUUUUUUUUUUUUCAAGUGGUGUAAAUUCCAGAGUAAUCUUCUUUAAAGAUGAACAGUCACUUAUCACUAAGCACUAUUGCACACUUUGUGUGGUGGGGAGUGCAUGAGAGGUUAGUCACAGUACUUCCUGGUGUGAGUGAUGCCAUUCCAUAAUCGGUUAAGACAUUUCUUGGAAAAUGCUGUAUGCAAAGAAAUGCUUAGACUUUCCUUUGUAUGGUGACCUACGUCCGGCUGGGCUGUCGUUAUGCCAUUGGAGUUAGAUUUGCAUUUCAUGCUCUGACUGAACUGGGACUAGUUUGAUAUUGAGUUGUGCAAAUAUUUGAGAAGUUCAGAUUGCUUGAGUGUUGGCUAACCUGAGUGAGCAGUCGUGUUACACAUCAUGACAAAUGGUGGAGGAACCGUGGAGACUUAACUGACAUCCUGACAUUGCCACCAGGAAGAUCCAUCCCUAAACUAAAAUGCUACUCCACACUAAUGACAAACACAGGACACCCCUCUCCCCCACCCCAAAAGACCCACUCAGAAUUAGGAAGACUUUUUUUUUUUACACGAAAAGUGAAGUAGUCCUAGUACGGCCCAUCAUUACAAUCUCCACAUUUGAUAAAACAAUUUUUUUUAUUUUUUUUUAUUUUGGUUUUUUAAUAUAUCCACUUCUGGUUUGAUUUGGAGUCGCUCUGCAUUUUAGAAUUUUCAGAUGUAGAAUAACUGUUGCGCCAUAUUUUGCAUUUUAUUGUUUGUAGAAUAUUUAUUUUUUAAUGAUUUUUUACAAAUGAAUAUCAAAAUAAAACAAACCUUCAUGUAUAUACAAGGUUUGUAUAGGACGGUGAAAGAUAUUAACCCUUUCACACAAUCACCAUUGUUUUGUCACUAUGAAUAGAAGACUUUAGGGGUCAUUUUACAUGCCCAUAAUUCAUACAUUUUCAGGCAGUGACAAUUACAGAUUGGCUUUUAGAGAAUUAUUAUAAUUUAUUUAUUUUAAAGUGCCACUCUCACAUGAACUUUUUUUUUCCCUUCACAAUUUUAUGUUUAGCACACUAAUGCUAGUAGAUUCAGCUUAUUUUUUUUUUUAUUUAUUUAUUUUUUUUUAAAUCUAAGGAAGCUUGGUUUACCUGAACUACAGAUAAAUCUUCAAUUGCAAAGUUCCAGAGUGGAGGCCACCAUUUUUGAAUUGUAUCAUUUUGUAUCAGCUUCCAACGCUCUGAGCCCAGAAUUAUACUAUGUAAAGAUCAGAAAAUAUUUCAAUAAAUUCUGAUGCAGUGCAUCUAACAUUCAAUACGCUUGGGUUGAUCAUUUUUCAAUCUAUUUAGCAGUUUAUAAAAACAAAAACCCCAAGGUAUUUUAAAGUGUCGAAUGAUGGUGCAUUGAUUGUUUCUGAUGACAGUUUGACAUUUUAAAGUUUACAGAUUAUAUUGGCCUCUGGUUAAUUCAAAUGAAGAAACCAGUUCUAUGAUUUUACUUUAAUUUUGGUGUUACUUGUAGGAAGGAAGCCCUGUUUUUUAAUUUUCUAGAAGUUGCCUUGCAGUUGUAUCAAGACUAAAGUAGCCCCACGGGCAGACAAAUAAAAUGAAAUCGGUUGAGUUUAAAUAAUCCAGUACUUUGUGCUGGGAGUUAGAAAUCACACAGAACGUCCACUAGGUGGAACUAAACUAUCUGUUUUCAUUAAUACAUUUAAAAAAAAUCACACUAUUCUUUGUCAAAAAAUUGGCAAAGUAUAGAAAUAGUACUUCAGUCAGAACAUCAACAUACUUCAACCAAGUGUUACAAUAAUACAUACAUAAAGUGCUACUUAAAGGAACACUAUAGUCACCUAAAUUACUUUAGCUAAAUAAAGCAGUUUUAGUGUAUAGAUUAUUCCCCUGCAAUUUCACUGCUCAAUUCAAUGUCAUUUAGGAGUUAAAUCACUUUGUUUCUGUUUAUGCAGCCCUAGCCACACCUCCCCUGGCUAUGAUUGACAGAGCCUGCAUGGAAAAAAAAAAACUGGUUUCACUUUCAAACAGAUGUCAUUUACCUUAAAUAAGUUUAUCUCAAUCUCUAAAUUGAACUGUAAUCACAUACAGGAGGCUCUUGCAGGGUCUAGCAAGCUAUUAACAUAGCAGGGGAUAAGAAAAUCUUAAUUAAACAGAACUUGCAAUAAAGAAAGCCUAAAUAGGGCUCUCUUUACAGGAAGUGUUUAUGGAAGGCUGUGCAAGUCACAUGCAGGGAGGUGUGACUAGGGUUCAUAAACAAAGGGAUUUAACUCCUAAAUGGCAGAGGAUUGAGCAGUGAGGCUGCAGGGGCAUGUUCUAUACACCAAAACUGCUUCAUUAAGCUAAAGUUGUUCAGGUGACUAUAGUGUCCCUUUAAAAGAGCAAUAUAAAAUGUACGGAGACUUCAGAAUAAACCUAACAUUUCUAUAUUACAGUUGCUUCAGCGCUUAAUCCAAAAACUUUAUUAAGAGUGGCAAGGCUAACCAGAGUAUGGCAGAUCCAAUGUGAGAUUGGAGUUUCAUUUAAAAAUAGAUAAAAUAUUGAAUAGCCCCACCUGCGUAGUUUAGUAGUUACAUUCCAAAAGAAUCCCACCAACAAAAUAAUUACCCGCAUACUAACCAUGCAACUAUGGAUGGGUUUCUCAUGGGUUUUGGGGAGAGCAUACACUUGGGUAAAUACAAGAAUUGUAAUUUUACAUUUUUUAAAAUUUUUAUUUUACUUUUAUUUUUUUUAUUUGUUGAACAAUAAACUUCAUACAAGCAUGGAAAGUCUGGCUAGUUUAUAUCAUAAAAGCUUACUGAAUACAGAUUGAUAUCAAAGAAGUCCUAAAACAGUCCAGCAGGCCAAGGCACCUAAAACAAGUCACCCAUGCAUAUUGGUUUGACAAGCACUGACCUACAGGAGAGGCUUGCAAGCCUUUUCUCAAGAACCACAAAAUAUAUCAAGGUUCUGUGCAAUGCUCCCAAUGAGGCAGUCUGGGAAUCCUUGACCUUUGGGGUAUCUGACGAAUGACUGGGCUCCUUAACAAAACUGGUCAAACCGUGAUACUGUACUGAUAAGGAUGGGUGUUUGUACAGCGCCAGGUAACUAGCCAAAUUUUAUAGUAAGGCAAAGUGUAUUGUUUUGUGUUUUCUUGUGUAUAUACAUAAUGCGUAGCAGAACUUUUUAACUGGAACUAAGCAAAGUUGUUUAAUUGUAUUUUAAUAUAUUCUUGAGAAAAGUUAAUGUCCCAACGCGGGUAGGAAAUUAAUAAAUGAGCUGUGUUAUAGGUAACCAGUUACUCUGAUCAAUAAAAAGUGAUAUUUCCAGUCUUUACUUCCAAACACGUCUUCGUUACAGGUACUAUGUAUGGAGGGCAUUGUGAUGUCAUUUCACAGCCGCCUUUGGUUAAUUGCAUACCUUGAUUCAUAUCUUGAAAUUCUAAACAUCACGUCAUGGAAUUUCACUUUUUCUGUAUCUACACAGAAGGAGAAAAAUGUGCUGAUAUCCCGUCUGGUAACCUCUUGCAUAAGGAAUAUUAGUUGACAGAAGUGCGUGAAGACCUAAUUAAUAUUCCUAUUUUGUUGCAAGUGGAACAUUUCAACACAAAGUAAUUCACAAGCGCAGGUGGCAGUUUAAAGAGUUAUUCCAGGCAUCAUGGCCAUUUCAGUGAUUUAAAGUGGUCAUGGUGCCUUGAGUCUCUUUAUGCAGUGUUUCACUUUGAAAAUGCCAUACAAACCACGUUGACCCCCCUCUGCUGCUGGAGAUGUAACUCUACCAACAGCAGCGUCAUUGCGUUGUCAUCAGCCACUAGAGCUCCGAGCUGACUAAUGUCAAUUCUAUGCAUGUUUCGAUGCACAGAAUCCAAUUAAUUGGUGAUAGCGGUCAGCUGACACUCUCAGCCAACAAAUGAGUGAUUGGAUCACUACCACUGAGCUAAGCACAGCAACGCAGUACGGUGCUCAGCUGACUCCCUUGUGGCAGAGCUUAACUCAGUGGAGCCAACGGUAGCUCCUUUUAGGAACUUCUAGCAGCAGAUAAGUGGGCAAUGCGUGCCCAGGUAAGUUGUCAAACUAUUCUUGAGCAGUUACCACUACAGAAAGCUGAAGUGGCUAUGGUGCUACCUUUAAUGAAUAUAUUUUAGCCUUUUGUUCACAGAUGGCUUGGGUCAGAGUGUUGUGCAAAUACCAAUUUACAAAAAGAUCUGACUCUGCAUGUUUUUCAUACAGUUAUAGGUGUGCACAUGUUCUAAAUAAAAUAUACGCUGAGAACUCAAUAUUACUUAAACGUUAAUGAGCCCAUUUUCUUUAUUACCAGACAUAUGCAUACUUAUUCGAUUGAGCACAUGUUGAGAAAAAAAUAAAUUAAAACAUACCUGGUCCUCUGUUUACUUUAGGAGCUGGGAGAGCCCCACAUUGCUAAAUUUUAAAUAAAUAAUACUGAUCAUGUCGCGUCAUUGCAUGUGACUUAUUUACAGUCUUACAGUUUUGCUUCUUCAUUCUGUUUAAAAAAAAUAAUAAACAUAAAUGAAUAUCUAAUGCUCCUGACAACUUGUUUUCCCUUAACCCCCUUAUUUUUUUUAAAUUUAUUUAAUUUUCUGCCUUGGUGCAGCAAUACAAAUGAAGAUACAUUCUUGGUUUGAGCAAGAAGUGGGGGGGGGGAGGGGUAAAAAAAAAAUGGGUAGAUGUUUAGAAUAAAUAUAAUGUUCACGUGUGUAAAUAUAAAUGUGUGCGUACUAUAUAACCUUACAUAUUUUUUUUGUUUGAAAAAAAUAAAACAUUAAAAUGUGACAAAUUCCUCCCAUUCCCUCCUGCACUUAAUGGUUUUUUUUUUUACAAUGUGAAAUGGUGACACAUAUAUCCCUACCUAAUUGCCCUGUAAAUUUUGCCAACAUGCACUGAAAAAGCAUUACAUUACAUAGUUUGUGCCAUUGAGUCAUGUAUGGUACUAAUAAAUUUUUUUUUUUGAUUUUACUGUCUUUUUAUUUUAAUUUUAUUUUUUUUACUAUUUGUAUUCCCUCCUUUCCGUAUCUGAUGCUUUGAGCAUCGUCCUGCUGUAAAUACUGGUAAUAUUCAAUAAACACUGAGGAAAGGGUUGUAAAU